rnacentral:rRNA from 1 species
CCCAAGCGUGAUCCAGCAAUGCCGCGUGAGUGAAGAAGGCCUUCAGGGUUGUAAAGUUCUUUUAGCAGGGAAGAAACGGAUGACGCUAAUAUCCUUGCCUGAUGACGGUACCUGAAGAAUGAGCACCGGCUAACUACGUGCCAGCAGCCGCGGUAAUACGUAGGGUGCAAGCGUUAAUCGGAAUUACUGGGCGUAAAGCGUGCGCAGGCGGUUGUGCAAGACAGAUGUGAAAUCCCCGGGCUCAACCUGGGAAUUGCAUUUGUGACUGCACGGCUAGAGUGUGUCAGAGGGGGGUAGAAUUCCACGUGUAGCAGUGAAAUGCGUAGAUAUGUGGAGGAAUACCGAUGGCGAAGGCAGCCCCCUGGGAUAACACUGACGCUCAUGCACGAAAGCGUGGGGAGCAAACAGGAUUAGAUACCCUGGUAGUCCACGCCCUAAACGAUGUCUACUAGUUGUCGGGUCUUAAUUGACUUGGUAACGCAGCUAACGCGUGAAGUAGACCGCCUGGGGAGUACGGUCGCAAGAUUAAAACUCAAAGGAAUUGACGGGGACCCGCACAAGCGGUGGAUGAUGUGGAUUAAUUCGAUGCAACGCGAAAAACCUUACCUACCCUUGACAUGUACGGAAGGCCGAAGAGAUUUGGCUGUGCUCGAAAGAGAACCGUAACACAGGUGCUGCAUGGCUGUCGUCAGCUCGUGUCGUGAGAUGUUGGGUUAAGUCCCGCAACGAGCGCAACCCUUGUCAUUAGUUGCUACGAAAGGGCACUCUAAUGAGACUGCCGGUGACAAACCGGAGGAAGGUGGGGAUGACGUCAAGUCCUCAUGGCCCUUAUGGGUAGGGCUUCACACGUCAUACAAUGGUACAUACAGAGGGCCGCCAACCCGCGAGGGGGAGCUAAUCCCAGAAAGUGUAUCGUAGUCCGGAUUGUAGUCUGCAACUCGACUACAUGAAGUUGGAAUCGCUAGUAAUCGCGGAUCAGCAUGUCGCGGUGAAUACGUUCCCGGGUCUUGUACACACCGCCCGUCACACCAUGGGAGCGGGUUCUGCCAGAAGUAGUUAGCCUAACCGCAAGGAGGGCG